AUGGCUAAGCAAGUUUCAUGGACACCUACCAUGUCCAAGUUCAUGCUAACAUGGCUAAGUGAUUUGGUCUCUAGUGGCAAUAGAACAAGUACUGCAUUCAAGCAAUCACAGUUCAACGCUUGUGCCACUGCUUUGAAUGAGCAUUUCCAACUUAGCUUGAAUGGAGAUCAGAUCAAAAAUCAUAAUAGGACAUGGAAGCGAAAACUGCAGAAAAUAGUGAAACUCAAGGACUUGAGUGGUGCACUAUGGGAUGAGGACAAGUCUAUGAUUGUUCUUGAUCAUGAGAAUUACACAAAUCAUGUUAAGGAAAGUACUUGCUGUAAUGGAUUAUGUGAAGCUCAUCCAGAGGACGAACAGUACCUUAACAAGACUAUUAUUCAUUAUAAGGAGAUGAUGAAUAUAGCUGGAGGGAGCAUGGCUACAGGGCAAUGUGCAAAAGACUCAAGUGACCCUCUUGCUACAGAAGUGGUUAAUCUUGAAGAAGAGACAACCAAGAAACCCACUACGCCACAUGAAGAGGUUGCACAAUCAACCAAUGCAGGUUCAUCCGGUCCCAAACCAAAAAAGGCCAAACCAAAUCCUUGUGUGGAAGACAGGUUGCAUGCCACCAUACUUGCAUCCAGUGAAAGAAUUGCUAUUGCCAUAGAGAAGAGUUCUAGCACCGAGAACAAUGCCAUAGAUGGUCUUUGGGAGAGCAUGAAAGUACUUCCUGGGUUCAGUUUGGAUUACCUUGCUCAUUACUACGCAUAUUUGGUUGACAAUCCUCGUGUUUCUAUGGCAUUCAAGGUGUUGGAAGAGGAUCAAAAGAAGGUUUGGGUUUCUAGGUAUGUCAAGAAUACCUUUCCUGAAGCGUAA
rnacentral:rRNA from 1 species